rnacentral:rRNA from 1 species
CCUACGGGAGGCAGCAGUAGGGAAUCUUUCACAAUGGGCGAAAGCCUGAUGGAGCAACGCCGCGUGCAGGAUGAAGUCUUUCGGGUUGUAAACUGCUUUUAUCAGCGAGAAAUAUGAUGGUAACUUAUGAAUAAGGAUCGGCUAACUACGUGCCAGCAGCCGCGGUCAUACGUAGGCUCCGAGCAUUAUCCGGAGGUACUGGGUGUAAAGAGUUGCGUAGGUGGCAUAAUAAGUAGCUAGUGAAAUCUGGUGGCUCAACCAUUCAGACUAUUAGCUAAACUGUUAAGCUCGAGAGCGUUAGGGGUAACUGGAAUUUCUAGUGUAGGAGUGAAAUCCGUAGAUAUUAGAAGGAACACCAAUAGCGUAGGCAGGUUACUGGGACGGUUCUGACACUAAGGCACGAAAGCGUAGGGAGCAAACGGGAUUAGAUACCCUAGUAGUC